CCUGGCCUCUGAAAUGCCACUCACAGGUUGGGAGUCAAGCGUUGCCACUCCGUGUGUCCCCUUGCUCAGGAUCCUGUUAUGUUUGGAAGCUAAAUAGACUCUGGCAGUUGACUUUUUGGCAACAACUUGAAAACUGAGUGACAGCAGACAUAAGACACUGCAGGAGCUUCUUCUACUUGAGAUGUUCAGUUAUCUAUCUACAUGAAAGAACCUUUUCUUUUUUUUUUGUUUUGCUGACACCUUCCUGCUGGGAGCUGAACACUGCUUGAAUCAUCCAUCCAGGGCAAUUUGCUAAUAAAAGUAAGGAAUUGCCUUCUGAAUCUCUUUGUUGGCAUGAAUGUGACGAGAGGAGCGGAGACGGACUCAUCAGAGGCGUGCCGGAAGCCUGUCAGGGAGUAACCUGGGCAUGUCCUCCUGUCACCUCCCCUCCGAGCCCCGUGGAGCAGGGCAAGCCUAGUAGGUGCUUGCUGUUUGGAUAUAAAUGUGUCUCUUUCCUACUUCUCAGCAUAUGUACAGAGUCAAACUCCCCAAGUGUAAGGCCUUCUGCAUCUGGCCUAGCUCUAAUUUUAUUGAAAAACAAGGAAAAAUAGACUAAAAAACCCUCCAUGGUGCUGCAGUGAUCAGCCCCUCAUUGGUUAUAAUGGGUGGUGUCCCUCACAGCCCUGGCCACGCCAGCUCUUCCCCCUACUGUUGUCUGCUCAGUGCCUGUUUAGUGAUCUCUGGGGUCUGCCUUUGGAUGUUGCAUUCACCCCAAACCUUUCUGGUUCAAGUAGCACAGUACAGCCUGGGGGUGGCAGGGGGGAGGUGUAAGGCAGCUGGAUGUGAAGCCAGUCGCAUCCCUCCCUUGGGUACCCUUUGGUACAGACACCAAGGUGCCUUCACCAUGCCAGCUGGAUGGUCUGCUGGGUGAAGGCAGUGUCCUCCACCUGAUCUUGCCCAUAACCAGGGGGAGGAGGUAACUGUUAUGCUGUUCCUUUCCUGCUUCUCCAUAUGCAUCCUUUUUCCAGCUGGCUGGUAUCACGGAGAAGAGCCAAGAUAUCACCCAUUUCCCUAAUCUCUGCCUACCCAGAUGUGGGGGGCCGCAGCCCCACAGAGGUUGUCCUUCCAUCUCUAUACCCUGUUUUGUAUAUGGGGAGAUGGGGGAAGGUAAUAGUCUUGCCUCUAAUUGGAAACUGAUUGGCUCCUGCUGUGUUCUGCAUUGCAAUUAAUCCCUAACCAGGCCUAGUGAAGGGCUGGGAUGAGGUGCAGAAGGCUUGCCCUAUUCUAUGUGCUCUGUAACUCAAAGCACUAGGAAAAACCUUGCUGUCAGGUAUCGAUUCCAAGGUCUCUUCUUCCAGACUGGGUUGUGGCAUGAUGCUCUGUGCCUGGGAGCUCAAGCAGAGGACAUGUCACAUCUCGGUGUGAGUAGGUGGAUCGCAGGUCUGCAUAGCUGCUCGGUUUCCUUGUGAUGCGCUGACCAAAAGAGUCUUUUUGUGAGUUAUGCCAUUGCUGUCAGCAUGAUAUUCCUAUGUGCUGUGUGCUUCCUCCCUGGCUGGUUCAGGUACAUCCCAUAUCUCCAUUGCUUUUGAUUUGUGUUUUGAUGAACCCUGUAAAACGGGUGGCAUGGUCUUCCCUGCGUUCUCUCUGCAUUUUGACAGAUCUGCCUUCCUCCAAGGCUGCAGACCACAGGAGUCUGACACUGCUUUCUGACACCCGCACCUCUCUCCCACCUGUUGACCACCUCAAUGUACCUUUUUCACUGACUGGCUUUCUUGCAUAGGUACUAGCCUCUGGCUGCUUUACUACUGCAUCCAGGAAGAGCACAGACCAUCUACAGAUGCUCUGUCUGCCUGCUGAAGGGUAUUUGUACCCAAAAGCUUGCAAAGAAUAAUUUUUUCCAAGUAUUUUAGUUGGUCUAAUAAAAGAGAUGGGAUUUACCCAAAGAACCUUGUCUGCCUAUGUCCUUAGACCAACACGGCUACAACCUAUACCCCUGACACUGGUUUCUGCUCCCACCUCCGAACUUGAGUCUGGACUCAUGCUUCACCUGAGUGGAUCUCCUCUCACUCCCUUGCCUUCCAGUGCAGAGACAGUCAGACAGGCUAGCUGCUAGUCACUCCUGCCAGGUGGAUGACACUGAGUGGCAAUCUCCAAACCCCAUGGCAGUGUAUGAGGCAUCUGAGUACCGUAUGGUGCAUCUCAUAGCAUGGAGCAGGGAUGAAGCCAGCUGUGAUGUGUGGGAAUUGGAAUUCCCUUUCUCCCCCCAUUGACUGUGAUGACAAAGAGACUGUCUGAGGUUGGGAGUGGACACUGAAUGCCUUGCAGCAGCCUGUUGUUGAUGUAUGAACCACCAGCCUGGGUGGAGGAAGCUUCAUCAAUCUCUUCAGAGGUGUUGCCAGCCUAGUGUUUGGAGGGACUGUUUACACAACAGAGAGAUGAAUAGGUCUAUGCUACGGACACAUUGCUUCCCUUACAGCAUUACAGUGAUGCCACUGCUGCCUUCAAACAAGACAAAUUCUGAAAUGUUGCAGGCGUUCAGAGAAAAUAAUAUCCCACCCCCAAAGAAUCUUGUAUCAAAUAUGAGACAGGUGCUGUGCAUCAUGGAAGACCAAUAUAGACACUUUUACAUCACUGUUAGAGAUGAGAGGGCUGAGAAGAGACUGUCCCACUUCUUAUCUACCUUACUGCCAUGUCCUGAACAUGCUUCCUCCGUCCACACUGGACCUCAUCAUAGAGUCAUAGAAAACGAGGCUUGGAAGGGACCUUGGGAGGUCACAUCUAGUCCAACCCCCUGCUCCAAGCAGGACUAGCCCCAACUAGAUCAUCCUAGCCAAGCAUUUAUCCAUCUGGGUCUUAAAAACCUCCAAGGAUGGAGAUCCCACAACCUCUCUGGGUAACCUGUCCCAGUGCUUUACUACCUUCCUAGUGAGAGAGUUUUUCCUAAUAUCUGAUGUAAACUUCCCUGGCUACAAGUUGAGACCAUUGUGAUUAGUCGGUUGCAAACCUGGUUCACGGAUGAAAAUCAGAAGCAACUCCUUUGAAGCCAGUGGCUUGUUCAAAUGAAGGCAGGGUGGUAAAAAAACUCCCAGAUGAACAGGAAUUGCCUCAUUAUUCCCUUCUUGGAGCUCUCCUCCAUAAUAGUACAAUGCACACACCAAUAGACUCCUAUGCAAGCUAGAAUGGUUGUGUCACACCCAUGUUUGGAUGCUGUGGAAGCCGAGAGAGGAACAAUCUGAUCCUUCACGCCCCAAAAGUGGCUCCAUGUUGAAAUUCUCUCUUGGGUCUGGGUACGCUAUCCUGCCUCUCUCUUCCAGGGGUCUUAUGGCCAGGUGAAUGUGGAAGAAAAUCGGAGUAACUUUUUCUUUCGAAUGGCGAACUGAGAAAGCGGGCAAUAUUCCCAUAUGCGAUCCGCGAUCUUCCCCUGCCCAUAUACCUUGGCAUCAACGUGUGAAUUUCCAAAGAUCUAUUUCACCCUAAGGACCAAAGAGGAAAAUACCCCAGUAGCUUAUGACAGAGGGUUCGGGAUUCCAGUCUCUAAAACUUCCACUGACUUCAUUGAGACCUUUGCCUGCAAACUAGCUAAUGGAGCAAGCACUAAAUUACAGCCAGACCCAUCUUCCUGGCAUCCCCCUGCUCCUCUUCAAAGCCCUUUGUGAUAAUGACUCUUUCCAGCCAGCACUGCCUACCCGCCUCCAUGCCAAGCAAGCGUCUGCCUCUCUAAUAAUGGGUUGGAUCACUGGAGACUCGCGCGCUACAUCCCUGUCUCUCCAGGACUCAGCUUUUAUGCUAUAUAAGCUCCAAGCUCUUCUACCGUUGCUGCUUUUAUUUUGGGUCGUGUGAGUCUGUAUCACCUGUGCCUUUGUUAGAGGGAAGUUUGAGCCAGUCACGUGCCAACCUGUGUGUGUCUGGGGUGCAUUUGUGACUGUUGCAUCACCUGAGUAUGGGGAUGUGUUGCACAUUUGUGUCGUUUCUUCUGUGUGCCAAAAGUGCAGGAGAUCUUACGGGUCUUGUCUGUGUUUUACACAAACCUUCCCUGUGUGUGCAUAUCAGGUUGCGCUAAGGUGUGUGUCAGCCUGCUUGUGGCUGCAUGGGGGAUGUUUGGUGAACCCGUGCUGCAUCACGUUGUGCAUGUAGUCAUGGUGUCUUUACAGCGUGUGUGAGGAUCAGCACUGUGUCACCUCGUGCAUGUUUCCGCGUUGUCUCUCCGUUGCAUGCUAACCCCUGCGAUACCUUCCUGAGUGAUUUGUGGCCAUGACAAGUUGAAUUGUGGGUAAACUGCACAGCAAAUGGGGAGCAAAUUGGAGCUCUGGCUGCUGCCGAAGGGGUCAUUCAUCACCUCUGCGCAAGGCUGCAGCCGGCACUGUUUGAUCACCCAUCCCCGGAUCACACCCAGUUUUUCGGGUCCUCCACUAAUUUAUGUCACACUGGAUGCAGAAGAGCUCCACCCCAGCCUUCCCAGGGCUUUCAUCUCUGUGUGGGGAACGAAUUGCCCUGUCACUCCCAGGCUUUGCUCCCUCCCUCCACGCAAACACCAUUCCCCCACCUCGGGAGCUGUGGCUAUAAUGCAUCAAGGUCGGUGCCCGCCAGUGAGUGAUGGGGCAGCAACAGGAACUGAUUGCACAGGGACUGGCUGACCUAUUCAUACUCCAUGCAUCCAAGUCACACGGGGCAGGGGAUGCGGCUGCAGCCAGACUUGAAGCACUUCAGCGCACACCAUGCCCUCCUUCAAGCCUUGAGACAGCUGGCGGGGGAGGAAGACACAGAGUCACAGCAUGGAGUCCCCCAAAAUUAGAAGAUGUAGCUUCAAUGCUGUUGUCUCUAAAUCAGUCCCUGCGGCACCUCCUGCUGGGACCAGAGUAUCUGGGCACUCCCACGCAACCAGGCCUUCUGCCUAAUUCCUCACAGUACCACAGCUGGGAGAGGCAGGGACUGGGAUAGCCCUGAGCUUCCCCCACACCCAGCCCCAUUGCACCUUCCUCGCAACCCUUCCUGCUGCUAGGACAGGUGCCAGACAGCCAGGAAACCUGCGCUGUUCUCUGCAGCCCGACUAUGGUGGAACAACUGGGGGCUCAUGUACCCCCUUCCCAGCACUCCCCUGUUGUCAUCCAUGUCCUCUAAUGGCUAUACUGGAGUCUCAGGAUCCCAGGACUCUGCAGUGAGAGGUGCUAAUAGAUAGUAAAAUGAACUUGUAGCUAGGGACCAUGGAAAAGAGAUGCCAACUAGCACUGGGAUGGCUUUGACUAUUUUACCACGUCCCCUAAAUGGAUGUGGCCAAAACAGAGGUUCUUGUCUUGACGCUUAUUAAACUCUAAUCUCAGUGUCAUCGCUCAGUAUUACAGCUGGAUGCAAGCCAAUGCAUUUAAACAAAGAGAAACAGAAAGACUUACGAGAUGGCUUGAAACCUUUGCCAGCAAACUGCAGAAUAACCUCCGGGCUGGAAGAACUGGACUGACCUGAUGUGGGUGAGGAGAGAUCUCAAGAAAUUGCCAAUUAGAAAGUUUCUCCUUCUAAUGAUGGAAGAUUUGGGGAAAAGCAAAUAGUGAAGGUAGAGUCGCACCUUAAAGACUAACUGAAUUAGGCGAGGAGACUGGACUGAGACCUAUGAGCACGUCCUGCCUGUGCUCUGCAAACUGAAUGUUUUCAGGUAGAGGAGAUACCCCCUCCCUGCAACGAUGUCCUGCCAAAACAAUUAACAUUUGCUGAGAGGCCAGUGGGAGAGUCUACAGCAAAAUCAAUUAAUGAUAAAACCUUUCAGCAAAUGCAUGCGAUUUUAUCAUUUUAUAAUGUUGCCAUCUGAGCAAUAAAUAAAUAGUGUGUGUGU